UACAGAGGGGGCAAGCGUUGUUCGGAAUUACUGGGCGUAAAGGCGCGUAGGCGGCCUGUUAAGUCGGACGUGAAAUCCCUCGGCUCAACCGGGGAACUGCGUCCGAUACUGGCGGGCUUGAAUUCGGGAGAGGGAUGUGGAAUUCCAGGUGUAGCGGUGAAAUGCGUAGAUAUCUGGAGGAACACCGGUGGCGAAGGCGGCAUCCUGGACCGACAUUGACGCUGAGGCGCGAAAGCCAGGGGGAGCAAACGGG
rnacentral:rRNA from 1 species